CUGCGGGUGCGGGGGUGCAGAGUGCGAGUGCGGAUCUGCAGACAGGAAACAUCGAUGCCCCCGACUGCGCACCAGACAGUUUUCGAUGGAAAUUCGGCAGACUUGUCGUCAACCCAACCCUACCCUCAAAACUGUGUUGUUUAUUUACAAAUUUGUCUCAGAGUCUCAGAAAUUUACCGGAGGUCCUCUGUGCGGAGGUCUUACACUGGUCUUACAUGGUCUUCUUACCCUUACCAGUUUGUAAUGUUACCGUUACCCGUUACCCUCUCUAAGUGUUGUGCAGUUUGCAGUUAUACUUGAGUCUCUGUAAUGUUUAUUCGAACGUCAUGAACUGUUCGCAAGGUGCAGCUCUAUUUAGAUGAAGUGUCAGUUGCAUCAUUCUCACCAUGGAUCGAAUGGACCAUCACAGAAUGAAAUCAUCCAGAAACAGACCAUCUCAUGGCUCUUCCCUGGAAAAGAUAAUGGAUAAGCGGAGAAAGGAGAGGGAAGAAAUCAAUUUAAUCGGUGUCCCUCAGGUUUGGGGUAAAUCACCCCUGCGCACAGUAGAAUCAGACGAUGAAGUUAAACCUGAAGAUAGUCUGAAAAGGAAACAUUCAGAGUUAGAUAAUCGAAAAAAGAAGAAGAAGAGUAAAUCCAUCAAGCAUAAAAAGGAAAAAUCAAAAGGAAAGGAAAAGGUAACGUUGCAGCUUUUAACUUUUAAUCCUUCAUAUUUAUCAGGUUAAACUUAA
rnacentral:lncRNA from 1 species